GACGAACGCUGGCGGCGUGCUUAACACAUGCAAGUCGAACGGAAAGGCCCUGCUUUUGUGGGGUGCUCGAGUGGCGAAAGGGUGAGUAACACGUGAGUUACCUGCCCUUGACUUUGGGAUAACUUCAGGAAACUGGGGCUAAUACCGGAUAGGAGCUCCUGCUGCAUGGUGGGGGUUGGAAAGUUUCGGCGGUUGGGGAUGGACUCGCGGCUUAUCAGCUUGUUGGUGGGGUAGUGGCUUACCAAGGCUUUGACGGGUAGCCGGCCUGAGAGGGUGACCGGCCACAUUGGGACUGAGAUACGGCCCAGACUCCUACGGGAGGCAGCAGUGGGGAAUAUUGCACAAUGGGCGGAAGCCUGAUGCAGCAACGCCGCGUGCGGGAUGACGGCCUUCGGGUUGUAAACCGCUUUCGCCUGUGACGAAGCGUGAGUGACGGUAAUGGGUAAAGAAGCACCGGCUAACUACGUG
rnacentral:rRNA from 1 species